GCCGCGUGGUGCUCCGGAGCCGCCACAGGACGCGGGGGGACGCGCACCGUUCUGCUAGAAAACCGAGCAGUGAGCAGUCACAUCUCUGAAGUCCAGAUGUGUGGAAAAAAAAUAGAGUCAUCUGGAGAAGAAUUUAGCAGAUAAGAAACUACAACUCUGGGACAUUGGACAACCAUGGAAGUUGCUGUCUGGUGGAUAAAAGUCUUACUCAGUUUGUGAUACUGAUUUUUGUGGCCAUCUGGCACGUGGUAUUGUCCAGACCACCCAAGCCACAGCACAGACUAAACAAAGUUACUCUGAAAAUAAGAGUGUUGAAGGUACUCCACACAGCUGAUAGUUGGAGGAAAAUGGAUGAAAAGGCACCUUAUGAUCUGGGAAAGCUGGAAUGUAUACUGCAAAGAUACAUGAAGAGGUACCAUAUAUUUUCAGGAUGAAAACAUACUGUUGAUUUUGCUGAGGGUCUCCUUGAACUUUGUAUACCACAACUCUAUUUUUAUUAUUUCACUGUUAAAGACAGAUGAAGAAAUGGCCAAAACUAUGAAACCUUUUAAAAUGUACUUUGGGCUGGAAAACCUGAAGAGCUUGAAAAAGGAAUGAAUUGGCACAACACAAGAAAAGACAGAGCAGGAGUGAAAAAAUAAAAGGGUAAACAACAAUUUGAAAUCAUACCAACUGACUUCACGAAGUCUGUAAGAAACUGCAUUUCAGUUGGAUUGAGACAUGUAAGUGAACUGUUUUUGUUUCACUGAAACACUUUGUGAUGCUAAAUCACUUUGACAUUUUUUUUCAAUCCACCUCUACUUCAAAUACAUAAAUAUUUGAGAGAACACUCUGCCCAGCCUUAAAUGCUGAGCCAUGUGUUUCUCUAGUCCCUUAGCAAUAGUAAAAACAAAAAUGUAAAAGAGAAAUGAUCCUUUUGCUGGGUGGGACUGCACUGUGCUACAGAGGAAAAAAGAAAUCCCUCCAGCAGCCCCAUGUCAUUAAAAAUUAAAUAUAAAAAAAGUUUAUUUUGUGAUAUGUGUUUUUACCCUAAAGCAGCUAGAAUACAUCAAAGAAAAGAAAAUCCUCUUGAUCCCUCAAGUGUCUGAAAAAAAACAUAACAUUUUAACAAGAAGCUCAAAACUAGAGAACAUUUAAAUAGUUUCUUGUAACUUUUAAUGGCCCUUAGAGUAUUACCAUCCAAAAAAUUCCAUCAUGAUUUCCAUAGACUUGUUCUUGAACAUUAUUAGAUAUUUAAUUGCUCUAUCAUUUUGACUUUGUCACACCUUAGCAACAUUAAUUGUAUUUGUUGUAUAAGGUAUUCAGUAGUAGUAAAUAUAUUUUGGAUUGUCAAAGCAUAUAUGCUAUAGAAUAUCAAUAAUUUGUUGGUUAUUUUUCUUCAGCUUUCAUUGAUUUCUUUUUCUCUGGCAAAGGUUCUGUUUUCCUCUUAAGGGAAGAUCCUGCAUGAUUCAAAUGAGUACUUCCAGGGGAGUUUUUUAUUUAACUCAAUGAAACAUAAAUUGCUGUAUACUUCUGGAACAAAUAAAACUAUAAUAGGCUUUACAAGUCAUGCCCUACAAGAGCUAUAAGACAGUACAUUGUAUGCAGUAGGGCAGCUACUUUGUUUGAAUUCUGAGAAGCAGAACUAGUAAUGAUGUUGUCCAAACCAACCAUCUCCAAGCCUUUGAUUGUGCAUGACUAUCAGUAAAAAUUUCAGCAACCAACCCCAAAAUACACAUAUUAUUUAUAAAAUGCACUAAUACUAACUACUAUACUAAUAUGUUAGACACAUUAAAAAAUAUACAACAUAUAAAUUGAAAAGGAUAAGACAGAAAUGAAAUAAACUUUAUUUCAAAAAUGUGAUUUUAUUUAUAAAUGAUAAAAGAAAUAUUUUCUUCCUGCAUCCCAGUGGACUAACUUGCACCCCACUUUGGACGCCACUGCUCUCAACAGUGUGUCAGGAGGGUGAGUAACAGCAGUCUGUUUUCAGCUGCCUCAUCUCAUGUGCUAUGCCAGAGCUUACAUUGAUCCUGGUACCUCUGAAUAAGCUGUGCUUCUUGAGUUCUUCACACACACUAGUCCCAACCUCAGAGCUCAAUUGAUCCUAUCUUCAAAUUCUCCAGAGAACAUUUGCUCUGAAGUCAUUCAGGCAUUUUAAAAAACUACAUCCAGGUCAAGAACUUCUGUAAUCAGUCACAUACGGAGUCAUAUCAAGACAACUUUGGCAUAUCAAAAGGAGAGAGCCAGAAAUGCUCUUCUGCCUAAAUUUCAAUUAUUUAAGCAGUCAAGACAGCUGAAAAAUCUUUCUCUGGCCAGAAAUGAUGCUAUUCCUGAUCAGAAAUUUUCUGAUUUACUAAGCUUUCGAUUGUGAGAUUAAAGGUCAAGAGAAUUAAGCGUCAAGCCAGCACAAAAUGAGAGAUUUGAAAAAGGUUUUGUAAAGAAUGCUGCAAAUAAUUUCCCGUUUUAAAGGAGCGUCCAUCUGUAAAUGGCAUGGUGAGACAGCAUGGUUUGUAUGGUACAGUUUUUAUAGGACAAAAACAGAUUCUAAAAACACAAAUGGAAAUUUGAAGGAAGCCUAUGCAGCGCACACAAUUAGGGAGCCUACAGGAAAAUGGAACUGCCUUGAAAUAGAUAUCAUCGCUCAGCUUAUGCCUAGUUACAUGACUUCUGAAACCUACUACUGUAAUAAGAAAAGUUCUUAUAUUUGAACACUAAAAAAUAACUGUGCAAGAACAGAGAAGCACAAAAACUUGACUGUUGAUUCACUCUAAAUGAACCUGUCCUUAGUUUUUUUUUUUUCAUAAAGAGGUUUUUUCAAAGAUAAUCAAAUGUACCCUUCUCUGUAUUUAUAAGAAAAAUUACUCAUUUUUCAACAACAUUUUUCUAGCCAGCAAAAACCCAUUUUCCCUUCCCAGCCAGAGCCUUGUUCCAGUCCAGUCAAAAAGUCCCAGGGCAAAUAAAGGAAUACUUUUACUUAACUUAGGCUUACUGGUAUUUCUGUUAUUCCUGCCAAUGAGUUUCUUUUUAUUUUCCUUUGGAAAGUUGAGGUAGAAUGCAAGCAUAAGGGACUUAUUUACCAAGAAAGUUUUUUUGCAUUAUGAAUAGAGUGAUGAAUAGUGAUGUGUAAUUAAAGAUAACUCAGAUACAAUUUAACAGUAAAAUAUUUACAAUGCAGAAGAUGUAUUGAGACCUCUCCAAUAACCUUGGCAUUACUUUACACACAUGCUCACAUAUGAAGGUGGUCUCACUCACCUUUG